CGGACGGGUGAGUAACGCGUGGGAACCUGCUACGUGCUGGGGGAUAACAGUUAGAAAUGACUGCUAAUACCGCAUAAGCGCACAGUAAGGCAUCUUACAGUGUGAAAAGAUUUAUCGGCAGUGAGAUGGACCCGCGUCUGAUUAGGUAGUUGCGGGGUAACGGCCCACCAAGCCCGCGAUCAGUAGCCGACUUGAGAGAGUGAUCGGCCACAUUGGGACUGAGACACGGCCCAGACUCCUACGGGAGGCAGCAGUAGGGAAUAUUGCACAAUGGGGGAAACCCUGAUGGCCAGCGACGCCGCGUGAGUGAUGGAAGUAUUUCGGUACGUAAAACUCUAUCAGCAGGGAAGAUAAUGACGGUACCUGACUAAGAAGCCCCGGCUAACUACGUGCCAGCCGCUGC
rnacentral:rRNA from 1 species